UACGAAGGGUGCAAGCGUUAAUCGGAAUUACUGGGCGUAAAGCGUGCGUAGGUGGUCUUUUAAGUCCGUUGUGAAAGCCCUGGGCUCAACUUCGAGCUGUCGGUGGAAACUGUCUGGCUAGAGUCCGGAAGAGGAGAAUGGAAUUCCUGGUGUAGCGGUGAAAUGCGCAGAUAUCAGGAAGAACACCCGUGGCGAAGGCGGUUCUCUGGGACGGUACUGACGCUGAGACGCGAAAGCGUGGGGAGCGAACAGG
rnacentral:rRNA from 1 species